rnacentral:rRNA from 1 species
AUUGAACGCUGGCGGCAGGCCUAACACAUGCAAGUCGAACGAGUGGCGGACGGGUGAGUAAUGUCUGGGAAACUGCCCGAUGGAGGGGGAUAACUAAUGGAAACGGUAGCUAAUACAGCAUACCAUCGGAUGUGCCCAGCUGGGAUUAGCUAGUAGGUGGGGUAACGGCUCACCUAGGCGACUAUCCCUAGCUGGUCUGAGAGGAUGACCAGCCACACUGGAACGGAGACACGGUCCAGACUCCUACGGGCGGCAGCGUUGGGGAAUAUUGCACAAGGGGCGCAAGCCUGAUGCAGCCAUGCCGCGUGUAUGAAGAAGGCCUUAGGGUUGUAAAGUACUUUCAUCGGGGAGGCGUUACCCGCAGAAGAAGCACCGGCUAACUCCGUGCCAGCCGCCGCGGUAAUAC